UAUGUGGUUGAGGUCAGAGUUCAGCAGGCGAAUCAAGUUCUGUAAUACCAAACUGUUCUGUAAGGUUAAUUUUAAUGUUUAUUUCCCUUUAUUACUUUUUAAUGUAGCGAACACAUAAACCCUUUUAUUCUGCGGUGCCUAGUACAGAUGACCGCAAGUCCGCAUUCCUAAGGGCUGGGUUCACUGUACAUGCGUACUGCACACUGGAGACCUUUUAGGUGCAAGCUAUAAAGGAUCUGUACAUGUAACAGAAAAUAAGCUUCAAAGAAGAGGUCUGUGUGAGAACUACUUUGUCUCUUCUAUCUACCAUCUUGGGUGCCGGCCAACGGUGACGAGCUUCCCCAAGAAUUGAUUUCAGGUUAAGUGAUUGUUUCUUUACUUUAAGCUGUAUGUGAUCUCUUAGUCACUUAGCCAUCAUUUAAGCAAAUUUAUUCCCGGUACCUUGGAAUUCACCAUAAAACAAUCUCACCCAACCAUGCCUUUUAUGGAUCUUAGUUUGUGGCUGUUAUGCUUUGGUUCCUAAACAUUUCCACUUUGCAAUAUCACCAUUCACAGUGGAUGGUGGAACAUCUCAGGGAAGAAAUGUCAUGAACUGACUCUUUGCAACCAUGCCAUCCUAUUACAGUAGCAAGCUGGAAUUCAGUGAGCUUUUUAGGACAACUCUUUAUUUUCCAAAUGUCUGUAAAGGCAGACUGCAAGGCUAGGGGCUGGAUUUUAUACACCUGUGGCAAUGGGACUGAAUGAAAAACUUCAAUGAGUAAGAGGUGUGCCCCAAUACCUUUGUCUACAGUAUAUGGUCAGUCAUCCUGAUGCAGUUUUGGAAGCAAAAAUCAGAAGUUGAUCAUAAAAGGAGAGAAAUUAUAUAGGAUAUAUAUACGACUUCUUUUUUCCAAUACUGCAUCAGAAAACCUGACUGUUACCAUAACCUUAUAUUGUACUUCUCCUUCCUGCUGGAUCCACUACUGGCUUUGACUCAAAGUGCAUUGAAAGCUGCAGUGAUGUUAAGCAUGUAAAACCUAAACCACAUCCUUACAAAUAUACACAUUAUUGAUUGGUAAUGCCCAUUAUUUUAUUUGUUGGAUAUACCAUUAAGCCAUGAGGAAUUGAAUACAGUAGACUAGAAACAAGAGUUGGCCUGAAUUUUCAAGUCAACAUUUAAUAUUAGCAGUUUUCAGGAGUGAACAUAGGAAAUAAUUUAAUAAGAAACACGCCAUCCUCCGCAGUGCGUGAAGGUUUACAUUCAGUGUAACAAUUCCAAAGAAAUUCCAGUAACACCUAUUGAUAUACGUUCAACAGGGAAUGCGGAUUGGACUGAAAAAUCAUUUGAUGCCAUCACAUUAGCUGCAAACAAUACAAUGGGCAUAGCAAAAAUAUCUUCUCACAAUGGAUGGUAGGUAGCAUGUCAAGAACAGCUUUAAAACUU